AUAUAUAUAUAUAUAUAUGCCUCAUUCUCGCCCUGUAUGGAUUUCAGAUACAUGGAGGCACAUCUUUCAGGGCACCAGUAUUAAAAGUAUAGAGUCUUAAUUUUCAUACAUACACCUCUUUGCCUGUUGCUGCCCCCACAGACUUAAAAUAUCACUUCCAACUAAGAGGGAAUUCAGCUAAUUUUUUUUUAAUUGACUGUAAUGGUCACUAAACCAUUUUGGAGAGAAUUUCUAUUAAAGAUGAGGCAAACUCAUUUAUUUUCAUUGCACAACGGUUUGACAAGUAUGCAACACAGAAUUGGCUCUCUUUUUUUUUCCUAGAAAAAAAAAAGUUGACAUCUGUUUUUAUGUCAAUUGGAUAUAAUUAAAAAUAAUUAUUGCCAAUGCUGUUUUUAUUCUCCAGUGGCCAGAAUCAUCAUCCUUGAAAUUUCUAGUAGUGCCUUUGCUUGGUUAAAUAAAAAUUAAAAAUGAUUAUCAUUAAGUAAAAAUGUUUCAGUUUAGAAUGUGGACCUCAGACAAGAUAUUGAACCUCAUUCAGUUUGAACUUCCACAUGCGUGAAAAAAUUAGAUCACCAGACACGGAAGCAUGACUGUGGAAGGAUCAUGGCACAGUAAGCAAUUACUAUUCAUUGAUAUAUGCAAAUGUCAUCUUUAUACUUAUUGGUCACUGUUAAGAUUUGCAUUUUUAAAUCCCAUCACCAAGUUCAGUUUUUCAAAACUUCAGUUGUCCUGGCUGAUCAUGCAUCACUCUUUGUGCAGCUUUUAAAUUUCAUUUAAUAUUUCUUCCCUACUACGUAUUUUUGCCUGUUUGUUGCUUGUGCUUUAUUAUUCUUAGUCAUUUGUGUUAAUUUGGACAGUAGCGGUUUUUAAAAACCAUAUACUGACUGAAACAUGAGCCAGAGCUGAUUGCUUUUUUAAGCUAAUAAUGAAUGUUAAAGAGUACAUAUUUUCAGGAUCAUUCAUCUAGUGAGCAAUACACAUAUGUAGGCCAAUAUUUUUUUUUAAUAAAAAUAUAGCUUGGUCAACCUCUAUACUACACAUAUUACAAGAUAUAGCACUUUCAAACAAUCUAAGCCUUUAUAGAAACUUUCUUAUAGGUUAUGCCUUUUAUUUUAAGACUUAUAUGAUUUGUUUCAAGUGCCAUUAGAUGAUAUAUAUGUAGAACUUUGAUAUAUAAUGCUUUGUGUUCAAAAAUGGUAGACGAUAUUUUAAACAGGUACAUUUUUACAGUGUUUUCUUAUCAAUUUGCUAUAUUGCACAGAAUCAGUGUGUGUCUUUUCAUAAGGUUUUACAAUGGUUUAUUUUUUUACAAGGUUUACGUGUCUCAAAACACACUGUCUUCCCAGUAUGUAGAUGUAAAAAUACCAGUUCACCCAAGUUGCUUCUAGCCUACUGAGAUCCAUGUGACAUUGGAGGAGAUCAUUUCAAUGUUGAGUAUUCUUCAUUAGUAAUGGCAGACUGUUAUCUCUGACAAAUGAGUGGCUAAGUUGACUUAGUCUGAUUUUUCUCACUGUGUCAGUAGUCAUGUAAACAACACAGGUUGUUUGUUAUGAUUACAUAGAUCACAUAAGUUGUCUUGUGUAGCUUUGUGCUAAAAACCCAUAAGAGCUACUUUCAGAUCAUAUAAAGCAACUUAAUACUACCAACAAAAAGGCACUCACAGAUCACCCUUAUUCCCUCCUGCAUUAUCAACCCUCUGAGGAUGGAAGGCAGUGUCUUUUGAUAAGCUACCUAGCUUAGAAAUAACAGAACUAUUGCUAAUGUAUAACACACUUCAUUAUAUAAGCUUCAGUGGUACAGAUGAACCAGAAUGAAUGUUUAUCUUCUCAGAAACACUCCUUCAAUGAUGUUGGAUCAUGCUGCUAAUGUAACUUGGGAUACAACUCUCCAUGGUGCUACAAACGUCUCUGUCUCAUUCAGUCGUAAUUUUUUUUUUAUCCAUAGGAAAAAAAGGACUUCAUUAGGUGUAAAGGUGUACAAUAUAUUUUUAUACUGUGACUUGAUUUGUCAUUAACAAACUUUUACACUCACCACAAUGUAUUCAUGUGCACUUGCAAAAGGAAAUCUUGGACACGCAAAUGUUACCAGAACAAACCCAGCUUUUGUCCACAAGAUGACUGUAACUCAAAGAAAAGUGGACUUUAUAAUAUGGUAUAGAGUGAAGAACAUGCUGUGUGUAACUAAUGGCCCUUUGAAUUUAACAAAAACUGGGAAUCCAUUAGGAAAUAGAUUGCAUCUUGCCUGAACGUAAGCUGGACUGCUGAAAUUGUAUUUUUAGCUGAUAAAAAAGUGUUUGAACUAAUAUUUUUUAAAAUGUUCUAAUGAUAAAGUUUUGAGUCAAAAUAGAAAAAAAAUCUGCAUUCCAGGCUGAAUUUUGUAUAUUUUUAUUGCAUUUAAAAUGGCUAUUCUGUGAUAUUGGGAAAUCAAGUGGCUUAUCAUGUAUAUCAUGUACUUAAAAAUGUAUUCACAAACUACUGUUGUAUUUGUAUAAAAUAUAGACAAAGAUCGUAUUUUUUGUGUGUGUAUAAGCUCUGUAAAAUAGCAGUCACAUUAUGAAGCUGCAGUAAUACUACAUUUUAAAACAUCCACAUCCAAAGAAGCAGGCUAUUUAUUGUCCAGUUACUCAGAUAUAAAAUAUUAAUUUGCUGCUAAUUAAACAAUAGUACUGCA